rnacentral:lncRNA from 1 species
CCCGUUUUUCAAAGCAUAAAAAGGGGUAUUAUUUAUUUAUUUUUUUUAAAUCAACACGCUUAAAUAAAAUGGCGCGCGUGAACGCCCGCAGCUAUCUCGGCAAUUCGUCAUUCAAUAGAAAAUAAAUAUAACAUCAACACAUUAUAUUACAGGGCUUCCUCGAAGCAAAGUGUGUACCUGAAUAAUUUACAUACAGCGGAUACAUUAAGUUCAUCAACCAAAAGACACGAGUUAUGAACCGAAUAUAUCACCAGGCCAAAAGGCACUAAACAUGUCUGAGUAUAAAUGUAUAAGACAUACAGUC